GGGUGCUUAGCUCAGCUGGGAGAGCGUCGCCCUUACAAGGCGGAUGUCGCUGGUUCGAGCCCAGCAGUACCCACCA
rnacentral:tRNA from 2 species